rnacentral:lncRNA from 1 species
GUUAGUUGACUCAUAUGGUAGAGAGGACUUUACAUGAAAUCAGUAUGAAAAUAGUUUUUUAGAUACCCAGAAGCUUGUUCUGGGAGAAGCUAGGGCGGGUCAGAGUAGACCUGAUGGGUAACUCAGGUAAAGAUGCUUUUCUUUUAUCUGAACUACUUAAUGAUUGCUUUACUUUUACUUUUUAAAAAAUUCAGAAAUCCAAUAAAGGAAAGGACGGUAACCUUAUGAUAGAAGGUGUGGCAUGUGUUACUGUUGGGGGAAAGGAGUAUAUUGACUUUGCCUUGGUUGAUAUUUUUAUGCUUGUCUAGGAUGGGACUAGAGUGUUGAUAGUAACAUGGCAGCCUUUUGCUGGCAGUGAAAUGAACUUAAGAAGCUAGGGAGUAGCUAUCCUAGAUCAAAACUCUCCCAAUAGUUUUUCCUUUGCAGGACCAAUCUUAUAAAGAAACAGCAUACUCAGCUUUUUACUUAGUGUCAGUUGAGGCAUACUCUCAAAAGUUUUUUCCCCUAAAAUAUCUUUCAAGUUAUUACUGGUAUUUGAAAUUUCAAGUUUAGAAAUUCAUUUCUUUUUAACUCAAAGUGCAAAUUUCAUAUAAUGAUUAUGAUGGUUUUAGUGUCCAUAUUUUUGUGACUUCACUUAUCAUCUCUUUCAGCAGUAGCUACCCACAGUCAGCUCCUAGUAAAAUGGCUACAGGAAAACUGAAAGAAAAGUUUAAGCCUGAGUAGGCAUAGAGUAAAAAAUGCAUAAUGAUGCAUUAUUAAUAUAAGAGUAAGGCUUUUUUUAUUUUGAGUAUCCUAACUCCAAACCUAGUGUUCUUUUCACUCCAUUAUCCUGCUGUUUAUAGCAAAUCAAGACCCAUAAUGAUACGUCUUUCAUUUAUUUCAGUUCUGCCAAGGAAAGAGAAAAUACCUUUUAAUCCCAGGGAAAGGAUUGCAAUCACCACAUUAUAAGAUCCCUGAACUUCAGAGAGUAUUGCCAUUUGGAUUCAUGGAGUUGGCGAACUGCUACACUGCUACCUUGUGUAUGGCUCUAAGCUUUGAUCCUAAUGACUGGUUGAUGAUCAUGAUAAUAUUAGGGCCAGUGAAUAUAGCUCAUAGUGAUAAUAAGGAUUCUAGGGUAUUUUUUUUUUCUUUUAGAAAAAGAUCCUGGAAGUUUAUUUGAUCUGACAUGUUUUUGUAAUAUUUAGAAAUAGCUCUUGUAUCAUAAAAAGUUGCCCAGUAUAAGACACACAAGAUGUAUUUUUUUCUCUGGUGAAAAUCAUGCCUAUCACUAGUAUAUGUUUGACAUUUGUAGUAUACUUAAAAUAGUAUUGGGUGUGAGGCAUGGUGGUGAUGAAAAGUAGUCCUUACGGCUACUUGUUAGUCAUUAGAGAGAACAUGGAGAAGGGGUCAAAGUUGGUAUCAUUAACAGGGCAAUGACUUGACCCUUCUUUCAACUGAUCUUACUGGUAGUUGUCUCUAGUUUUUAAGUAAAUUAAUGAUGGACCAUCCCCCAAACAGAGAACUAUGGGGGUAUGAAACAAGGCUGAAGGCUUUUAACCAUGGGAGAAAAAGGUGUUGGUAUUAUUCAUAUAGCAUAACCUGAGGUUGGAGAGGACCACUUGGGAGCCUGUAACCAAAACUAGAAGGUAACUUCUGGGAUGGACGGAGGUUCCCUUGAAGCAGUGCCAACCUAAAUCUACCUCAGGUAAGUAGUUAGAUUAACUUUUUCAAGAUUUCAGACCAAACAAGACAACUUGUAUUCAGUUGAUGUAUUCCUAUGCUUUAAUGUUUUUGUUUGCCCUUAAUUAUUAAAUAAAC